GACGAACGCUGGCGGCGUGCUUAACACAUGCAAGUCGAACGGAAAGGCCCUUUUUUUGUGGGGUGCUUGAGUGGCGAACGGGUGAUUAACACGUGAGUAACCUGCCCUUGACUUUGGGAUAACUUCAGGAAACUGGGGCUAAUACCGGAUAUGAGCUCCUGCUGCAUGGUGGGGGUUGGAAAGUUUCGGCGGUUGGGGAUGGACUCGCGGCUUAUCAGCUUGUUGGUGGGGUAGUGGCUUACCAAGGCUUUGACGGGUAGCCGGCAUGAGAGGGUGACCGGCCACAUUGGGACUGAGAGACGGACCAGACUGGUACGGGGGGCAGCAGUGGGGAAUAUUGCACAGUGAGCGGAAGCCUGAUGCAGAAACGCCGCGUGCGGGAUGACGGCCUUCGGGGUGUAAACCGCUUUCGCCUGUGACGAAGCGUGAGUGACGGUAAUGUAUAAAGAAGCACCGGCUAACUACGUG
rnacentral:rRNA from 1 species